rnacentral:rRNA from 1 species
UGAAUACGAGACGCUAAGGCGUCGAAGUAGUGUAUGUCAUACUUCCAAGAAAAGCUUGCACUGUCAUAGAUAAAAAACGCCUGUACCAUAACCGACACAGGUGGGUAGGUAGAGUAUACUAAGGGGCGCGAGAUAACUCUCUCUAAGGAACUCGGCAAAAUAACUCCGUAACUUCGGGAGAAGGAGUGCCUUAUUCGUAAGGUUGCAAUAACAAGAUCCAAGCAACUGUUUAUCAAAAACACAGGUCUCCGCUAAGUCGUAAGACGAUGUAUGGGGGCUGACGCCUGCCCAGUGCCAGAAGGUCAAAGAAGUUGGUUAGCAAUUGCGAAGCUGAUAGCUGAAGCCCUGGUGAACGGCGGCCGUAACGAUAACGGUCCUAAGGUAGCGAAAUUCCUUGUCGGGUAAGUUCCGACCCGCACGAAAGGCGUAAUGAUUUGGAUACUGUCUCGGAGAGGGGCUCGGUGAAAUAGACUUGUCUGUGAAGAUGCGGACUACCUGCACCAGGACAGAAAGACCCUAUGAAGCUUUACUGUAACUUGAAAUUGAAAUUGGACUUUAUUCGCGCAGUAUAGGUGGGAGGCGUUGAUUAUAAUCUUGUGGGAUUAUUGGAGCCAUCAGUGAGAUACCACUCUUGUAAUGUUAGAUUUCUAACUUUGAAUCAUUAUCUGGUCAAAGAACAGUUUCAGGCGGGCAGUUUGACUGGGGCGGUCGCCUCCUAAACGGUAACGGAGGCGUACAAAGGUUUCCUCUGAACGGUUAGAAAUCGUAUCUAGAGUGUAAAGGCAUAAGGAAGCUUGACUGUGAGACCUACAAGUCGAGCAGGGACGAAAGUCGGUCUUAGUGAUCUGACGGUACUGAGUGGAAAGGCCGUCACUCAACGGAUAAAAGUUACUCUAAGGAUAACAGGCUGAUCUCCCCCAAGAGUUCACAUCGACGGGGAGGUUUGGCACCUCGAUGUCGGCUCAUCGCAUCCUGGGGCGGUAGUACGUCCCAAGGGUUGGGCUGUUCGCCCAUGAAAGCGGUACGCGAGCUGGGUUCAGAACGUCGUGAGACAGUUCGGUCCAUAUCCGGUGUAGGCGUUAGAAUAUUGAGAGGAGCCUUCUUUAGUACGAGAGGACCGAGAAGGACAUACCUCUGGUGUACCAGUUAUCGUGCCAACGGUAAACGCUGGGUAGCUAUGUAUGGAGUGGAUAACCGCUGAAAGCAUCUAAGUGGGAAGCCCACCUCAAGAUAAGUAUUCUC